AUGGGCUACGAACUUCAUGAAAGGGCUUCGCAGGAUCUGUCCAAUCUGAAAGUGAGAAGAUGGAGGAUAUAGUAAUCAGGCUGAAGACACAUGUUUGAGUUGUAUUUUACUGAACACUU